UACAGAGGGUGCGAACGUUGUUCGGAAUUACUGGGCGUAAAGCGCGUGUAGGCGGCAGCGCAAGUCGGGCGUGAAAUCCCACGGCUCAACCGUGGAAGUGCACUCGAAACUGCGCAGCUAGAGUCCUGGAGAGGAAGGCGGAAUGCUUGGUGUAGAGGUGAAAUUCGUAGAUAUCAAGCGGAACACCGGUGGCGAAGGCGGCCUUCUGGACAGUGACUGACGCUGAGACGCGAAAGCGUGGGGAGCAAACAGG
rnacentral:rRNA from 1 species